GUACCCCGAGGAAAAGAAAUCAACCGAGAUUCCCCCAGUAGCGGCGAGCGAACGGGGAGCAGCCCAGAGCCUGAAUCAGUAUGUGUGUUAGUGGAAGCGUCUGGAAAGGCGCGCGAUACAGGGUGACAGCCCCGUACACAAAAAUGCACAUGCUGUGAGCUCGAUGAGUAGGGCGGGACACGUGGUAUCCUGUCUGAAUAUGGGGGGACCAUCCUCCAAGGCUAAAUACUCCUGACUGACCGAUAGUGAACCAGUACCGUGAGGGAAAGGCGAAAAGAACCCCGGCGAGGGGAGUGAAAAAGAACCUGAAACCGUGUACGUACAAGCAGUGGGAGCACGCUUAGGCGUGUGACUGCGUACCUUUUGUAUAAUGGGUCAGCGACUUAUAUUCUGUAGCAAGGUUAACCGAAUAGGGGAGCCGAAGGGAAACCGAGUCUUAACUGGGCGUUAAGUUGCAGGGUAUAGACCCGAAACCCGGUGAUCUAGCCAUGGGCAGGUUGAAGGUUGGGUAACACUAACUGGAGGACCGAACCGACUAAUGUUGAAAAAUUAGCGGAUGACUUGUGGCUGGGGGUGAAAGGCCAAUCAAACCGGGAGAUAGCUGGUUCUCCCCGAAAGCUAUUUAGGUAGCGCCUCGUGAAUUCAUCUCCGGGGGUAGAGCACUGUUUCGGCAAGGGGGUCAUCCCGACUUACCAACCCGAUGCAAACUGCGAAUACCGGAGAAUGUUAUCACGGGAGACACACGGCGGGUGCUAACGUCCGUCGUGAAGAGGGAAACAACCCAGACCGCCAGCUAAGGUCCCAAAGUCAUGGUUAAGUGGGAAACGAUGUGGGAAGGCCCAGACAGCCAGGAUGUUGGCUUAGAAGCAGCCAUCAUUUAAAGAAAGCGUAAUAGCUCACUGGUCGAGUCGGCCUGCGCGGAAGAUGUAACGGGGCUAAACCAUGCACCGAAGCUGCGGCAGCGACGCUGAUGCGUUGUUGGGUAGGGGAGCGUUCUGUAAGCCUGC
rnacentral:rRNA from 1 species